GGACGGGCCCGUCGUUCGGCAGAAAUGGAUUCUCUACCAAGGCUGCCCAGCGUUUGGACUUUGCUGUUCUCCGGCUUCUGGCAUUUAGGAUUAACAGCUACCAAUUGUAAUUGGGCUGUUGAGUGA
rnacentral:lncRNA from 1 species